rfam:Ruminococcus sp. 37_24 Ley3_66761_scaffold_391, whole genome shotgun sequence.
GGAAAUUUAUCUCAGUUGGUUAGAGAAAUAGUCUCAUAAACUAUAGGGCGUGGGUUCAAGUCCCACAAUUUCCA